rnacentral:lncRNA from 1 species
UCUGGAGCCAGGUCUGUCUGGUUUCCUUGGCUCAAAUAGCAAUUGGCACAGACCAGUGGUAGCAGCUCAGGUCCAGGCAGAGCCUCUCAUCAGUGGAUCCUACACUGUUUCUUGAUGGAGACAAGCUUUUCCCUGAGAUGCAUCUUGUCUCAAGUGCAGAAAGCUCUCACCUCACUCAGUCCCCGAGAAAGUCCUGUUCUGCUUGCUUUUGGAACAGAAAUUACAAUUCUACAAUUAGUAAGUUAGGUACACAGACCACACAGAAGUUUUGUUUGCCUGAUUGACUUUUGAAACAAAUGCUCUGUAAAUGAGACACCCAGAACUAUGGAUUAUCCCAUUAAGUACCUAAUCAGAAUUCUCAUUGCUUUUUUUUUUUUUUAAUAAAGCUAAAAAAAAAAAAAACAAGAGAAAAUGCAACAUCUUGUCUUUUGGAAAAUAAGUUAAAUGUUUCUGUCACCAUUUAUGAUAUCCGGUAUUUAUUCUGAUUAAUACUGAUGUUUGCCAGGCUAUUCCUUUCUGGGGGAAAUGAAAACUCUCUCUACUAUGUAUUAAUAAAACCUCUUGGGUGACUUCCAAGAUGAUCCUGUUACCUGGAGCUACAUGCUAUCCAUCUUUUGAGAAAAAAAUUAGAAUGAGUUCUAUAUGAAUUAAGUAGAUAUGAAUUGGAAAUACACUACGUGCUGUCAUCCUGAA